GUCCACUAUUAGUUUGCAUCGAUUGCAUGUACGAUUGGUCAUCAACUGCAACCCAAUCAUGAAUAACUUUGUAAAAGAGUUUGGUAAUAUUAAACAAUUACUGAAUAACGUUGAAUAGAGUAUCGAGAUAUAUGAAGGUCGAGCUGGUGGAUCACUGAAAAUACAAUCUUGUGUACUGUUUUUGAGAAGCCUUCUGUCACUAACAUUUGCAUUCCAGAUAUCUGUGGGUACUUGAUCUUAACUCUAUUUAUACUCAUUAUCAUUUUAGUUUUUUUGAAUGGUAUUUGGUUUGGCAUUUAUUUUUUUCUUAUGCAGUUCAGCCGUUACUUAAUUAUGUUCGUGGACAGCUAUUAUCUAAGUCACCUAACUAGAAUUCAUCAAAUAUGAAUGCUUCUUUUAAAUCUUUUUUAUGAUUGGAUCGCUAUUUUGGGGUAACCAAACAGCAGCUUGGAAAACCUUGUUUGGCCUUAUUUUUAAAGACAAUGUCGAACUCUUUUAUUGUCUA